ACCUACGGGUGGCAGCAGUGGGGAAUAUUGCACAAUGGGCGCAAGCCUGAUGCAGCCAUGCCGCGUGUAUGAAGAAGGCCUUCGGGUUGUAAAGUACUUUCAGCGGGGAGGAAGGUGUUGAGGUUAAUAACCUCAGCAAUUGACGUUACCCGCAGAAGAAGCACCGGCUAACUCCGUGCCAGCAGCCGCGGUAAUACGGAGGGUGCAAGCGUUAAUCGGAAUUACUGGGCGUAAAGCGCACGCAGGCGGUCUGUCAAGUCGGAUGUGAAAUCCCCGGGCUCAACCUGGGAACUGCAUUCGAAACUGGCAGGCUGGAGUCUUGUAGAGGGGGGUAGAAUUCCAGGUGUAGCGGUGAAAUGCGUAGAGAUCUGGAGGAAUACCGGUGGCGAAGGCGGCCCCCUGGACAAAGACUGACGCUCAGGUGCGAAAGCGUGGGGAGCAAACAGGAUUAGAUACCCGAGUAGUC
rnacentral:rRNA from 1 species